GUUUUCUUGCUACGGAGACCAGACAUUGCUCUUUGUGGUACAGUCAACCAUUAGAAUAAUGUAUUGUCCUCUUGCUGAGGGCUAAAUCACCUCUUCAAUGAACAAUCCCUAAUGUCAACUGCUGCUUGUGGUUCAGAUGAUGGCACGUGAACCCGCUGGAACCAUGAAUAGACAAUGCAACAUUGUAGACUAUAGCCAUAACGGGAUGCACAUGGACAGAGGCCUGAGGCAGCUUUAUGGCUUUGGUUGCGAGACUUCCUCUGUCUGGUUCCACUGCCUAUGCUGUUUCUUCUGCAGAUCCUGUUAGACAAGAAGUGUCUGGAAGUGUCAAAAGCAUUGGAAACUACUGCCAUCCACACCUACGUAUACAGAUACACUUAACACACUCAGAUUAACACCAAAACACACCUCAUAGUGGCACUGGAGUCUGACAAAGAUUUAGCUAGUACACAGCUUGAGUAAUGAGUAAAACAGGCUGAGAAUAACAUACUGUGAACAAAUAUGACUAAGUAGAAUUACUGUAUACUUACAAGCCAACUGAUAGUAAUUAACACACACAUA